rnacentral:rRNA from 1 species
AUGGCCACCGCCGUCGCUGCCCACCACCAUCCUCGUUGUUUGAAGAGAAACCACUGGCUGGUUCCAGCACCGCACCUCAUAGGUCGCAUCAUGUCCCCCACGUCACCGCCGGUCUCAGCCUUUUUUGUCGUUGGACGCAACAGCUUCCGCCGCAGGCCGGCCGGUCCACUGCCUUGCAUCCACGGGCGCCAUGGGUGCAUCUCAUCGCCGGUGGUGUUGCUCUUGGUCAAUGGGGAAAAAGGGGUGGUGGUGGAGCAGCCUCAGCCAAUACACAGGAUAGAAGAAAAACAAAAGGAGGAGGCCGGAGGCCAUGGCCUCGCCGGUUGUAGCGGAUCCCGUCGGGGAGGCAGGGGCGAAGUGCAAGCGGCCGGCGGAGCAGAGGAGAUGAGGUUAUGCGAGAGGAAAAAUAAACUGGAUCUCAUCUCAGUCUUCUGA